UGGGGAAUAUUGCACAAUGGGCGAAAGCCUGAUGCAGCAACGCCGCGUGAGUGAUGAAGGUCUUCGGAUUGUAAAGCUCUGUCUUUUGGGACGAUAAUGACGGUACCAAAGGAGGAAGCCACGGCUAACUACGUGCCAGCAGCCGCGGUAAUACGUAGGUGGCGAGCGUUGUCCGGAUUUACUGGGCGUAAAGGGUGCGUAGGCGGAUGUUUAAGUGAGAUGUGAAAUACCCGGGCUUAACUUGGGUGCUGCAUUUCAAGCUGGAUAUCUAGAGUGCAGGAGAGGAGAAUGGAAUUCCUAGUGUAGCGGUGAAAUGCGUAGAGAUUAGGAAGAACACCAGUGGCGAAGGCGAUUCUCUGGACUGUAACUGACGCUGAGGCACGAAAGCGUGGGUAGCAAACAGGAUUAGAUACCCUGGUAGUCCACGCCGUAAAACGAUGAGUACUAGGUGUAGGAGGUAUCGACCCCUUCUGUGCCGCAGUAAACACAUUAAGUACUCCGCCUGGGAAGUACGAUCGCAAGAUUAAAACUCUAAAGUGAAUUGACGGGGUC
rnacentral:rRNA from 1 species